UAACUCCAAGGCAAAAGUACCAACAAAAGUACAUGGAGUAGUAUCAAAGUGAGAAAAGCCUUGGAAAGUCCAAGAAGAGAAGCAUGGUAGAAGAAUCAAUAUAAUCUGGAGAGAGAUAUUGAGGGCGAUGAAAGCUUUCCUGAUAACAGAACUAAGACUAGGAUAUAUGGUGCACAGAAUUUAUUCUUAUAUGGAUCAAAUUUUCUCAGAUAAUUAUGGCUCAGCCUUUUCAUCUCUUCUGCUUGCAAACCUUCAGAUGUGAAGUUUUACUCGUGGGCAUCAUAACUGAAGCCUGCUCAAAUGUGGUGAAUGAGUUGUCUUCAGUUUCUCUGGCUGGAUCAAUGUAGAGAAGGGAUAUUUGAGGAGUUGCAAUUGUUCAUAAAAUAGUCUUUGCUAGGUACACGUUUUAGGCAUGCAAUUUGGAUUU
rnacentral:misc_RNA from 1 species